CUGAUUGAUCCUGCCAGUAGUCAUAUGCUUGUCUCAAAGAUUAAGCCAUGCAUGUCUCAGUGCAUGCCGAAUUAAGGUGAAACCGCGAAUGGCUCAUUAAAUCAGUUAUGGUUCAUUAGAUUGUACCCACAUUUACUUGGAUAACUGUGGUAAUUCUAGAGCUAAUACAUGCAAAACAGAGUCCCGACCAGUGAUGGGAGGGACGCUUUUAUUAGAUCAAAACCAAUCGGUGGCGCGCGGUCCCCGUGCGUCCGCCGUUUAUCCUGGUGACUCUGAAUAACUUUGAGCUGAUCGCACGGUCCUCGUACCGGCGACGCAUCUUUCAAAUGUCUGCCUUAUCAACUUUCGAUGGUAGGUUCUGCGCCUACCAUGGUUGUAACGGGUAACGGGGAAUCAGGGUUCGAUUCCGGAGAGGGAGCCUGAGAAACGGCUACCACAUCCAAGGAAGGCAGCAGGCGCGCAAAUUACCCACUCCCGGCACGGGGAGGUAGUUACCUUUAUAUGGUAAUACAUUUGGUCGAAAUCUUCUUGUACCAAUUGAAAGGUCAAAAGCAUUUUCACUGAAGUAUGCCGAACAAAUUCUUCCUCCAAUUAGAAUUGACUUCGUAGAUAGUUCUAGUAUAUCUA
rnacentral:ncRNA from 1 species